rnacentral:rRNA from 1 species
GCAAUACCGCGUGAGGGAAGAAGGUCUUUGGAUUGUAAACCUCUUUUCUCAAGGAAGAAACAAAUGACGGUACUUGAGGAAUCAGCAUCGGCUAACUCCGUGCCAGCAGCCGCGGUAAUACGGAGGAUGCAAGCGUUAUCCGGAAUCAUUGGGCGUAAAGCGUCCGCAGGUGGCUAAUCAAGUCUGUUGUCAAAGACUGGGGCUUAACUCCGGAAAGGCAAUGGAAACUGAAGAGCUAGAGUCCGGUAGGGGUAGAAGGAAUUCCCAGUGUAGCGGUGAAAUGCGUAGAGAUUGGGAAGAACACCAGUGGCGAAAGCGUUCUACUGGACCGGAACUGACACUCAGGGACGAAAGCUAGGGUAGCGAAAGGGAUUAGAUACCCCUGUA